GAUGAACGCUGGCGGCGUGCCUAAUACAUGCAAGUCGAGCGAACAGACGAGGCGCUUGCUCCUCUGACGUUAGCGGCGGACGGGUGAGUAACAAGUGGAUAACCUCCCUAUAAGACUGGGAUAACUUCGGGACACCGGAGCUAAUACCGGAUCAUAUAUUGAACCGCAUGGUUCAAUAGUGAAAGACGGUUUUGCUGUCACUUAUAGAUGGAUCCGCGCCGCAUUAGCUAGUUUGUAAGGUAACGGGUUACUAAGGCAACGAUGGGUAGCCGACGGGAGAGGGUGAUCGGCGACACGGGAGGUGAGACACGGUCCAGGCGCCUACGGGAGGCAGCAGUAGGGAACCGGCCGCAAUGGGCGAAAGCCUGACGGAGCAACGCCGCGUGAGUGAUGAAGGUGUUCGGAUCGUAAAACUCUGUUAUUAGGGAAGAACAAAUGUGUAAGUAACUAUGCACGUCUUGACGGUACCUAAUCAGAAAGCCACGGCUAACUACGUG
rnacentral:rRNA from 1 species